rnacentral:rRNA from 1 species
CAGCAGCCACGGUAAUACGUAGGGAGCAAGCGUUAAUCGGAAUUACUGGGCGUAAAGCGUGCGCAGGCGGUUUGUAAGACAGGUGUGAAAUCCCCGGGCUUAACCUGGGAACUGCGCUUGUGACUGCACAGCUAGAGUAUGGCAGAGGGGGUGGAAUUCCACGUGUAGCGGUGAAAUGCGUAGAGAUGUGGAGGAACACCGAUGGCGAAGGCAGCCCCCUGGGCCAAUACUGACGCUCAUGCACGAAAGCGUGGGGAGCAAACAGGGUUAGAGACCCCCGUAGUCCCUGUCUCUUAUACAC